GAUGAAGAACGCAGCGAAAUGCGAUAAGUAAUGUGAAUUGCAGAAUUCAGUGAAUCAUCGAAUCUUUGAACGCACAUUGCGCCCGCCAGUAUUCUGGCGGGCAUGCCUGUUCGAGCGUCAUUACAACCCUCAGGCCCCCGGGCCUGGCGUUGGGGAUCGGCGGAAGCCCCCUGCGGGCACAACGCCGUCCCCCAAAUACAGUGGCGGUCCCGCCGCAGCUUCCAUUGCGUAGUAGCUAACACCUCGCAACUGGAGAGCGGCGCGGCCACGCCGUAAAACACCCAACUUCUGAAUGUUGACCUCGAAUCAGGUAGGAAUACCCGCUGAACUUAAGUAUAUCAAUAAGCGGAGGA
rnacentral:misc_RNA from 1 species